GAUGAACGCUGGCGGCGUGCCUAAUACAUGCAAGUCGAGCGAACAGACGAGGAGCUUGCUCCUCUGACGUUAGCGGCGGACGGGUGAGUAACACGUGGAUAACCUACCUAUAAGACGGGGAUAACUUCGGGAAACCGGAGCUAAUACCGGAUAAUAUAUUGAACCGCAUGGUUCAAUAGUGAAAGACGGUUUUGCGGUCACUUAUAGAUUGAUCCGCGCCGCAUUAGCUAGUUGGUAAGGUAACGGCUUACCAAGGCAACGAUGCGUAGCCGACCUGAGAGGGUGAUCGGCCACACUGGAACUGAGACACGGUCCAGACUCCUACGGGAGGCAGCAGUAGGGAAUCUUCCGCAAUGGGCGAAAGCCUGACGGAGCAACGCCGCGUGAGUGAUGAAGGUCUUCGGAUCGUAAAACUCUGUUAUUAGGGAAGAAAAAAUGUGUAAGUAAAUAUGCACGUCUUGACGGUACCUAAUCAGAAAGCCACGGCUAACUACGUG
rnacentral:rRNA from 1 species